CUGAGACGCGUACACACCGCCCGUCACCCUCCUCAGAAACCAAAAAUCAAAAUAACUAAGCCCCUCCCCCAAAUCUACCAGAUGAGGCAAGUCGUAACAUGGUAAGUGUACUGGAAAGUGCACUUGGCAAAAC
rnacentral:rRNA from 1 species